rnacentral:rRNA from 1 species
ACAUUGCUCUUUGAAUAAAGAGUAUUUCCUGCCCAGUGAUAAUUUAUUUAGCGGUAUCCUAACCGUGCAAAGGUAGCAUAAUCACUUGCUCAUUAAUUGUGGGCUAGAAUGAAUGGACUAACAAAUUGAAUCUGUCUCUUUUUAUUAAAUAAAAAUUAAUUUUUAAGUGAAGAAGCUUGAAUAAAGACAAGAAGACCCUAUAGAGCUUAUUUGAAAUAUUAUAUAAUUUGGGGGGCGACCGGUUAAUUUAUCACCCUAUAGAAAAGAUAUAUUUAUUAAAUGAUCCUAAUAUCAAAGAAUAAGCUACCUUAGGGAUAACAGGCUAAUCCUAUUUGAAAGUUCUUAAAAAUAGGGUUUGGCACCUCGAUGUUGGCUUAGGGAUUCUAUGGCGAAAAGU